rnacentral:tRNA from 1 species
CUCUUNAUAGCUCAGUCGGUAGAGCAGGGGAUUGAAAAUCCCCGUGUCCUUGGUUCGAUUCCGAGUCCGGGCACCA